GACGAACGCUGGCGGCGUGCCUAAUACAUGCAAGUUGAGCGCUGAAGGUUGGUACUUGUACCGACUGGAUGAGCAGCGAACGGGUGAGUAACGCGUGGGGAAUCUGCCUUUGAGCGGGGGACAACAUUUGGAAACGAAUGCUAAUACCGCAUAAAAACUUUAAACACAAGUUUUAAGUUUGAAAGAUGCAAUUGCAUCACUCAAAGAUGAUCCCGCGUUGUAUUAGCUAGUUGGUGAGGUAAAGGCUCACCAAGGCGAUGAUACAUAGCCGACCUGAGAGGGUGGUCGGCCACAUUGGGACUGGGACACGGCCCAAACUCCUACGGGGGGCAGCAGUAGGGAAUCUUCGGCAAUGGACGAAAGUCUGACCGAGCAACGCCGCGUGAGUGAAGAAGGUUUUCGGAUCGUAAAACUCUGUUGGUAGAGAAGAACGUUGGUGAGAGUGGAAAGCUCAUCAAGUGACGGUAACUACCCAGAAAGGGACGGCUAACUACGUG
rnacentral:rRNA from 1 species